ACUCCUGCGGGAGGCAGCAGUGGGGAAUAUCGCACAAUGGGCGCAAGCCUGAUGCAGCCAUGCCGCGUGUAUGAAGAAGGCCUUCGGGUUGUAAAGUACUUUCAGCGGGGAGGAAGGCGAUAAGGUUAAUAACCUUGUCGAUUGACGUUACCCGCAGAAGAAGCACCGGCUAACUCCGUGCCAGCAGCCGCGGUAAUACGGAGGGUGCAAGCGUUAAUCGGAAUUACUGGGCGUAAAGCGCACGCAGGCGGUCUGUCAAGUCGGAUGUGAAAUCCCCGGGCUCAACCUGGGAACUGCAUUCGAAACUGGCAGGCUAGAGUCUUGUAGAGGGGGGUAGAAUUCCAGGUGUAGCGGUGAAAUGCGUAGAGAUCUGGAGGAAUACCGGUGGCGAAGGCGGCCCCCUGGACAAAGACUGACGCUCAGGUGCGAAAGCGUGGGGAGCAAACAGGAUUAGAAUCCCCAGUAGUUCCA
rnacentral:rRNA from 1 species